rnacentral:piRNA from 1 species
UCUAUCUGCACUUCAGUGCAUGCUAAACUCC